GACGAACGCUGGCGGCGUGCCUAAUACAUGCAAGUAGAACGCUGAAGGAGGAGCUUGCUUCUCCGGAUGAGUUGCGAACGGGUGAGUAACGCGUAGGUAACCUGCCUGGUAGCGGGGGAUAACUAUUGGAAACGAUAGCUAAUACCGCAUAACAGUAGAUGUUGCAUGACAUUUGCUUAAAAGGUGCAAUUGCAUCACUACCAGAUGGACCUGCGUUGUAUUAGCUAGUUGGUGAGGUAACGGCUCACCAAGGCGACGAUACAUAGCCGACCUGAGAGGGUGAUCGGCCACACUGGGUCUGAGACACGGCCCAGACUCCUACGGGAGGCAGCAGUAGGGAAUCUUCGGCAAUGGACGGAAGUCUGACCGAGCAACGCCGCGUGAGUGAAGAAGGUUUUCGGAUCGUAAAGCUCUGUUGUAAGAGAAGAACGAGUGUGAGAGUGGAAAGUUCACACUGUGACGGUAUCUUACCAGAAAGGGACGGCUAACUACGUG
rnacentral:rRNA from 1 species